GUGCCAGCCGCCGCGGUAAUACGGAGGGUGCGAGCGUUGUCCGGAAUCACUGGGCGUAAAGGGCGCGUAGGCGGCCCGGUAAGUAGGGGGUGAAAUCCUGCGGCUCAACCGCAGAACCGCCUUCUAGACUGCCAGGCUCGAGCACAGUAGAGGCAGACGGAAUUCCCGGUGUAGCGGUGGAAUGCGUAGAGAUCGGGAAGAACACCGGUGGCGAAGGCGGUCUGCUGGGCUGUUGCUGACGCUGAGGCGCGACAGCGUGGGGAGCAAACAGGAUUAGAAACCCCUGUAGUCC
rnacentral:rRNA from 1 species